UAUACUAAUGUUAUAUCUUGUCUAAACAAAUUCAAUCAUCAAAGCUAAUUUUUGUGUCAUAAAAAAUGGCUUGUCCAACUAUCAAGAUUUUGAGCUUAAUUCUCUUCCUUAUCCUUAUUUCUCAAGGUUAUAGCAAAUGCACACCAAAUGAUAUAUCCGUAACGCAAAUUCGAACUGGAUUGAUGGUGCAAGGAAAGUCAGAAUGGAGUGUGGCUAUCACCAACAAGUGUCAAUGUCCUCAACAUAAUGUGAAUUUGAAUUGUAGUGGAUUUCAUUCCAUUGAACCCAUUGAUCCUCAAAUUUUGACAGUCUCACUCACUGAUGAUUUUUGCAUUGUUACACCCGCUCAACCCAUCUCUAAAAAUGUUGUUAGCUUCAAAUAUGCUUGGGACCACCAAUUUCCAUUGAAUCCCAUCUCCUCACAAAGUUCUUGUUCUUAAAUGUACACCAAGGGAUUUAAACCUUGACGCAAUUUAUUGUAAUUUGGUUUAUAGAAAUUACAAUUCCUAAAUAAAAUAUUUAUUUUAGGUGCA